rnacentral:rRNA from 1 species
UGGGGAAUUUUGGACAAUGGGCGAAAGCCUGAUCCAGCAAUGCCGCGUGUGUGAAGAAGGCCUUCGGGUUGUAAAGCACUUUUGUCCGGAAAGAAAUCCUUGGCUCUAAUACAGUCGGGGGAUGACGGUACCGGAAGAAUAAGCACCGGCUAACUACGUGCCAGCAGCCGCGGUAAUACGUAGGGUGCAAGCGUUAAUCGGAAUUACUGGGCGUAAAGCGUGCGCAGGCGGUUUGCUAAGACCGAUGUGAAAUCCCCGGGCUCAACCUGGGAACUGCAUUGGUGACUGGCAGGCUAGAGUAUGGCAGAGGGGGGUUAGAAUUCCACGUGUAGCAGUGAAAUGCGUAGAGAUGUGGAGGAAUACCGAUGGCGAAGGCAGCCCCCUGGGCCAAUACUGACGCUCAUGCACGAAAGCGUGGGGAGCAAACAGGAUUAGAUACCCUGGUAGUCCACGCCCUAAACGAUGUCAACUAGUUGUUGGGGACUUCAUUUCCUUAGUAACGUAGCUAACGCGUG